CGGCGCGGCGACCGCUGGGUUGGUAUGGCUCGGCCGGGCCCGUCCUGGAGCUGCCUGGACCAGCAGCAGGAGCGCGACGUGCGGGCGCUCGUUCGCCUUGUGACCCUCCUCCAGGACGAAGCGGAUCCUAACUUUCAGCUAGCGCUGAACUUCGCCUGGUCCAGCUUCAGAUUUCAUCGUUUCUUGGAUGUCAACAGCCACAAAGUAGAAAAGACAAUAGAAGGAAUUUAUGAAAAAUUCAUCAUCCAUUCUGAUCUCAGCAAAGCUGCUAGUUGGAAGAGAUUAACUGAGGAAUUUCUAAAUGCAUCACUUAUGAGCACAAAGGACAAAAAGACAGAUGCACAUUAUUCCAUACUGUUACUUCUUCUAUGUCUGUCCGAUUCUCCUUCAAACAGCAAUUAUGUGGAAACGCCAAGAGAUAAACAAGUGGAAAAUAAAAAUGAUUUUGACUGGGGAAAAUACUUGAUGGAAGGUGAAGAAAUUGACCUUGGUCCAAAUGUAGACACACCAAAUUGGUCUGAAGAAAGUGAAAAUGAAGAUGAUCAACAGCCCUUAAGCAGGGAGGACUCUGGGAUUCAGGUGGACAGGACACCAUUAGAAGAAUCAGAUCAGAACAGAAAAGUAGGGCCUCGUGUCAGCUGGAAAGCAGUUGAGUCAGAUGGCCGAAGCUGGCUGGAACAGCAUGUGGUCCAUCAGUACUGGACAGACAGAUCCCCACGGUUUCCUCAUAGUUUACAUUUGCAUUCCAAUUUAGCUGCUAUCUGGGACCAACACUUGUACAACAGCGACCCAUUAUAUGUUCCAGAUGACAGAGUUUUUGUUACUGAGACGCAAGUUAUUCGGGAAACCUUAUGGUUACUCUCAGGGGUAAAAAAGCUCUUUAUAUUUCAGUUGAUAGAUGGGAAGGUAACUGUGAGAAACAAUAUUAUAGUAACUCAUUUGACACAUAGAUGCCUACGAUCAGUGCUGGAACAAAUAGCAGCAUAUGGCCAGGUUGUCUUUCAACUCCAGGAGUUCAUCGAUGAAGUCAUGGGGCACAGCUCUGAAAGCAUGUUACCUGGAAAUGGCCCCAUUCCUAAGAAGCUAGCCGAAGCUCCCUUUAGAACGUAUCAGGCUUUCAUGUGGGCCCUGUACAAAUACUUCAUUAGUUUCAAAGAGGAGCUUACAGAUAUUGAGAAGUGCAUCAUCAAUAAUGAAACUACAGUAACUCUUGCAGUAGUGGUGGGCAAGUUGUCACCUCGACUGGCUCAGCUUAAGGUUCUACACAAAGUGUUUAGUACUGGAGUAGCAGAAGUUCCACCUGACACUCGAAAUGUCGUUCGGGCAUCUCAUCUGCUCAACACACUGUACAAAGCCAUUCUGGAAUAUGACAACGUUGGAGAAGCCUCUGAGCAAACUGUCUCCCUACUCUUCUCUCUCUGGGUGGAAACGGUGAGGCCCUACCUGCAGACGGUGGAUGAGUGGAUCGCACAUGGGCAGCUAUACGACUGUGCCCGGGAGUUCAUCAUCCAGAGAAACAAAAAUGUUCCGGUAAAUCACAGAGACUUUUGGUAUGCAACCUACACACUAUACAGCGUGUCGGAAAAGAUAGAAAACGAAGAAAAAAUGAGUGAUAACACUAGUGCAAGCUCUGGCAGUGACCAGGGACCCUAUGGCAGGCAGCACACCAUGGUGUCCUUCCUCAAACCUGUCCUUAAGCAGAUCAUAAUGGCUGGGAAGUCAAUGCAGCUGCUGAAGAACCUGCAAUGUUCGGAGAGCACCACAUGCCAGACAACGGCCAGAGAUGCAGAAAGAAAAAGCUUGUAUACCCUCUUCUUGGAAUCUGUGCAGUCACGUCUUCGACAUGGAGAAGAUUCCACUACACAGGUCCUCACUGAGCAGCAGGCGACCAAAGAGAAUCUUAUUAAGAUGCAGUCCAUCGCUGAAAGGCAUCUCGAACUGGAUGACAUUCACGAUCCACUGCUGGCAAUUAAUUUCGCAAGGUUGUAUUUGGAACAGAGUGACUUUCACGAGAAGUUUGCUGGUGGAGAUGUAUGUGUGGAUAGAUCAUCAGAAUCUGUGACAUGCCAGACUUUUGAGUUAACACUGAGAUCUUGCCUAUAUCCUCAUAUUGAUAAGCAGUAUUUAGAUUGCUGUGGAAACCUCAUGCAAACUCUAAAAAAAGAUUACAGGUUGGUUGAGUACUUGCAGGCCAUGAGAAAUUUUUUCUUAAUGGAAGGUGGAGAUACCAUGUAUGACUUCUACACAUCAAUUUUUGAUAAAAUAAGAGAAAAGGAAGCCUGGCAGAAUGUGUCUUUCCUUAACGUCCAGCUCCAAGAAGCAGUAGGACAGCGUUAUCCUGAAGACAGUUCACGUCUAUCUAUAUCUUUUGAAAAUAUUGACACAGCUAAGAAGAAACUCCCUGUUCAUACCUUAGAUGGUUUGACCCUGAGCUAUAAGGUCCCAUGGCCUGUGGACAUUGUUAUAAGCUUGGAAUGUCAAAAAAUUUAUAAUCAGGUGUUCCUUCUCUUAUUGCAAAUAAAAUGGGCAAAAUAUAGUCUAGAUGUUCUGCUAUUUGGUGAGCUAGCAAGUACUGCCAAAAAACCCCAACUCAAAGGACUUUUAUGUGAACAAGACACAGCUGCACAGUUUGGACCACAAAAGGAACCAGUAAGACAGCAAAUCCAUCGCAUAUUCCUCUUGAGAGUGAAGCUCAUGCACUUUGUGAACAGCUUACACAACUACAUCAUGACCAGGAUUCUUCACAGUACAGGGCUGGAAUUUCAACAUCAAGUUGAAGAAGCCAAGGAUUUAGAUCAGUUGAUUAAAAUUCACUAUAGAUAUUUGUCCACCAUUCAUGAUCGAUGUUUGCUGAGAGAAAAGGUCAGUUUUGUGAAGGAAGCCAUCAUGAAGGUAUUAAAUUUGGCUCUCAUGUUUGCAGACGGCUGGCAGGCAGGCCUGGGAGCUUGGCAAAAGGCAAAUGCCCCGAAGCCAGAGGCCAGUGUGGAACCAGGAGCUUGCUCUCCCUAUCUAGUACCAUUAUCUGUUGGUAACUUGAAGAAUGGAAUCUAUUGAGAAAAUGGAGUCUGAUUUUAAAAACUGCCACAUGUUUCUUGUAACCAUUUUAAACAAAGCCGUCUGUAGAGGAUCCUUUCCCCAUUUGGAAUCUCUAGCCUUGUCACUCAUGGCUGGCAUGGAGCAGAGUUAAGCAUCUUCAGUGUAAUAAAUACCUCAGAUUUCAUCUUAGUGCAUACGAAUUUCUACCACAUGAAGCUGUGACUUGGGAAUCUUAAUUUUGAUUCAUUUUAAAAACUAUUGUCUGCUGUCCAGACUAGCGUGUUCCCUCUGGAAAUUGUUGGAUAGCAUAUAGGAUUAUGUAUAUAAAACUAUCAAUUAUGCAGAGUGUGUAUAAGCUGUUUAUUUCCUUCUGCUAGUUAUAGAUGUAUUGAUAUAUAUGUAUUAAAUGUGAGUUACAUCAUUUUUUAAAACGCAAAUAUUGAUGUUAAAAAUUGGGAUGAUUUAUAUUAUUUUAUUCUCCUUUUGCUUGGUCACAGAAGUUUUUCAUAUAGAGUUUUACAUGCUGUCUUCCCUAAAGGUUGUGUUAGAUCUGCCUGUCUGAAAAUGUAUUUUUAUGUGCCUGGGAAGUUCCAGUUCACCCCUUUGCUUCUAUGAAGGACUUUGUUGUAGUUGUUGGAAUAAUAAUCCCUUACUAUUUUGUCAGCUGUCCUUAAAGCUUUUGAGAUUUCUAAAACGUAGUUAUCAACAUGUUUAGUAGUUGCAACGAAGUUUAUUCUGAAAAACCUAACCCGUCAAUAUCUAAAACAAGUUCCCCCAUUUAUAGUAAAUUAAUUAUCCUAGAAGCAAUUCUGUCAAAUGUGAUAGCAUUAAAUAAGCUGGAGCAGUGGGCUGUGAGCCCCUGGUGAUGGAAGCCAGUGCCAUUCACAGGGCUAAGACCAAGUGUGUGCUCCUCAGGGCAGGGCCUUCUGAGAGGAGUUUAUGUGCCCUUGGGGUUCAUGAAGACCCCACGUUACAUGGGCAUGAAAAGGGAAUCUCUAUAUCUGUCACUCCCAGAAUUAGGAUUCAGAAGUGAAAUGGUUGGCCUGGGCUAACACUUAUGAAAUUUAAAAAUGAAAUUGCAUUUUCUGACAGGAAGUAAUCUGACUUGGCUGAUUGAUUUGAUGAUGAGAACUGUUUCUGUCAAUUACAUUAAACAUGGGAACAUUUACCAUAAAUUGUGUAAGGUGUAACUUAAAAAUUUUAAUGAAGACAUAUUUAAAAACUUUUGUGAUAAGCCAAUAGAGCAGAAAUGGUACUCUUGCAGAGUUAUUUUAAAAUGUAAAAAGCAAAUAAAAGUCAACUUUAAAAUUUG